rnacentral:rRNA from 1 species
AGUAAUGUCUGGGAAACUGCCUGAUGGAGGGGGAUAACUACUGGAAACGGUAGCUAAUACCGCAUAACGUCGCAAGACCAAAGAGGGGGACCUUCGGGCCUCUUGCCAUCAGAUGUGCCCAGAUGGGAUUAGCUAGUAGGUGGGGUAACGGCUCACCUAGGCGACGAUCCCUAGCUGGUCUGAGAGGAUGACCAGCCACACUGGAACUGAGACACGGUCCAGACUCCUACGGGAGGCAGCAGUGGGGAAUAUUGCACAAUGGGCGCAAGCCUGAUGCAGCCAUGCCGCGUGUGUGAAGAAGGCCUUCGGGUUGUAAAGCACUUUCAGCGGGGAGGAAGGGAGUAAGGUUAAUAACCUUAUUCAUUGACGUUACCCGCAGAAGAAGCACCGGCUAACUCCGUGCCAGCAGCCGCGGUAAUACGGAGGGUGCAAGCGUUAAUCGGAAUUACUGGGCGUAAAGCGCACGCAGGCGGUCUGUCAAGUCGGAUGUGAAAUCCCCGGGCUCAACCUGGGAACUGCAUCCGAAACUGGCAGGCUUGAGUCUCGUAGAGGGAGGUAGAAUUCCAGGUGUAGCGGUGAAAUGCGUAGAGAUCUGGAGGAAUACCGGUGGCGAAGGCGGCCUCCUGGACGAA